UGGGGCGUCGCCAAGCGGUAAGGCACCGGAUUUUGAUUCCGGCAUUCGGAGGUUCGAAUCCUCCCGCCCCAGCCA
rnacentral:tRNA from 2 species